UGCUUCUGAAACAGCAACAGCCAUGUAAAAUAUGUGCCUCUAUUAUUAUGUUUAUUUUUUCGUACAAUAAGAUAAUAUGGGCAUAAAUCAUAGGCAAAAAUAUGUAAUUUUGAUUUUGAUCCACCAUUGAAAAUCUAGCCCCUGAUACUGGAAUCUUGGUCUGUUUUGCUUUGUUGGGGUUCACCAGUACUAUUGCGAAGAUGGAUAGGAUAAAGUUCCAAACUAGCUUUCAAUAUGCAAUUCAUUUUUAUUAUAGUUUAAUUGGUAUAUUUGUGUUAUAUUUAGAAAAAAAUCUUAUUCCUUUCAUGUUAACACCUUUUUGGUAAAAUUUUUCAUAGAGUAAAAAUCUUGGCUUGUUUAAGGUGUUCAAAUUGCAGUCCUUUGUACUCCAUAUUGUUCCAACUCAAGUCUAAUCUACUUAGGUCCUUUAUGAAAUUUGGUAAAUUAAGCGAGAAGAAUAUUUGAGGGUGAGCUUUGGUGCAGCAGUAAGGUGCCUUGUGUCUGGAAGGUUAUGGAUUUGAGUUGUGGAAACAACUUUGUCAAAAAGUGAAGGAAAGAUUACAGUUUGUCCCCAAUCCUGUCUUGUGCACUGAAGGUGUCCUUUACAUGAGAAGCAUAUUUGCUCUAGAAAUCAGGAGUUCAUUUUAAUUCUAUUUGAUCCAGUUCUCAUGUUUGGAAUCCCUUUAUUAGUAAACCUAAUUAAUGUGUUUUGAAAAUGAUGUUUUUGAUAGAAUUACUGUCUGACCAAAACCAAAAGACACUGGAUUUUGCAAGAAUUUAUUAUGUUUGUAUAAUUUGGUGGCACUGGCAUCUAGGGGUGUGUGGUUCCAGUUCCUGGUUUGCCUAGGAGCCAGAACCUAACCGAAAUUUCAAUACGGUUCUGGUUCUGGUUCAAUUCUUCAUUAUUUCGGUUCCGGUUUUGGUUCGAUUCUCAGUUCUUUGGUUUUUUUUCGGUUCUCAAUUUUUGAAAUAAUUUUAUACAAUUGUUUUUAUAAAAAGUCAUACUUGAAUUAGUAUUUAAGCUUUGAAAUAGGUUAUUAAUACACAAUAUGUCAUGUAAUAUAUCUUUUA
rnacentral:misc_RNA from 1 species